rnacentral:rRNA from 1 species
CAAGUCGAACGAGAAAGCCGGAGCAAUCUGGUGAGUACAGUGGCGUACGGGUGAGUAACACGUGGAUGAUCUACCUCUUAGUUCGGAAUAACCGAGGGAAACUUUGGCUAAUACCGGAUAAGCUCGGGAGAGGAAAGCAGCAAUGCGCUGAGAGAGGAGUCCGCGGCCGAUUAGCUAGUUGGCAGGGUAAAAGCCUACCAAGGCAAAGAUCGGUAGCCGGCCUGAGAGGGCACACGGCCACACUGGCACUGAAACACGGGCCAGACUCCUACGGGAGGCAGCAGUGGGGAAUCUUGCACAAUGGGGGAAACCCUGAUGCAGCGACGCCGCGUGAGCGAUGAAGCCCUUCGGGGUGUAAAGCUCUUUCGGCAGGGAAGAUAAUGACGGUACCUGCAGAAGCAGCUGCGGCUAACUACGUGCCAGCAGCCGCGGUAAUACGUAGGCAGCAAGCGUUGUUCGGAGUUACUGGGCGUAAAGGGUGUGUAGGCGGUUGUUUAAGUUUGGUGUGAAAUCUCCCGGCUCAACCGGGAGGGUGCGCCGAAUACUGAGUGACUAGAGUGCGGGAGAGGAAAGUGGAAUUCCUGGUGUAGCGGUGAAAUGCGUAGAUAUCAGGAGGAACACCGGUGGUGUAGACGGCUUUCUGGACCGUAACUGACGCUGAGACGCGAAAGCGUGGGUAGCAAACAGGAUUAGAUACCCUGGUAGUCCACGCCCUAAACGAUGCAUAUUUGGUGUGGGCAGUUCAUUCUGUCCGUGCCGGAGCUAACGCGUUAAAUAUGCCGCCUGGGGAGUACAGUCGCAAGGCUGAAACUCAAAGGAAUUGACGGGGGCCCGCACAAGCGGUGGAGCAUGUGGUUCAAUUCGACGCA